UACGUAGGGUGCGAGCGUUAAUCGGAAUUACUGGGCGUAAAGCGUGCGCAGGCGGUUUUGUAAGCCAGAUGUGAAAUCCCCGGGCUUAACCUGGGAAUGGCAUUUGGGACUGCAAGGCUGGAGUGCGGCAGAGGAGACUGGAAUUCCCGGUGUAGAGGUGAAAUUCGUAGAGAUCGGGAGGAACACCAGUGGCGAAGGCGCCCUUCUGGACAGAUACUGACGCUGAGACGCGAAAGCGUGGGGAGCAAACAGG
rnacentral:rRNA from 1 species